CAUCCCUCAAUGUACUUGCGUUGAGCCCUUUGAAGCCUGGGUAAAGUCCAUAUUGUAAUAAAGAAGAAACAGAUCACAGAAGAAGCCACAAUUGCUCUGCAAACUUGCAGGAGCAAUUCUCUACGCGGCGGCAGCCAGGAUGUGGAGACCUUCAAGAGACCAUGUUACCCACUUGAAUAUUUAGGAGAAGCUUCAUUUGCACUGUGGCUUCCACCUCAAAAAUACACACAUGAACUAGCCCCAAGAACUAGUCACAUGUAAGCAAACAUUUGUUUGGCACACACCUGUCUGAGGUGGCUGUGGAUUUCACCCCAAGUAAAAACUCACCUGUAUCUGAUGAAGAUAAGGCUUUGCUUACUGAAGCUUUCUGACAACAGAUUGCUUGAACAGACAAAUCCUUUUCAAUCACCUUCACUUUAACAGGACUUCUCACUGGUGAAUCUAAUAAAUGAAAUGCCUCAGUUACUUUUUCAUCAA